CACGUAGUUAGCCGUGACUUUCUAAGUAAUUACCGUCAAAUAAAGGCCAGUUACUACCUCUAUCUUUCUUCACUACCAACAGAGCUUUACGAGCCGAAACCCUUCUUCACUCACGUGGCGUUGCUCCAUCAGACUUUCGUCCAUUGUGGAAGAUUCCCUACUGCUGCCUCCCGUAGGAGUUUGGGCCGUGUCUCAGUCCCAAUGUGGCCGAUCAGUCUCUCAACUCGGCUAUGCCUCAUUGCCUUGGUAAGCCGUUACCUUACCAACUAGCUAAUGCACCGCAGGUCCAUCCAAGAGUGAUAGCAGAACCAUCUUUCAAACUCUAGACAUGCGUCUAGUGUUGUUAUCCGGUAUUAGCAUCUGUUUCCAGGUGUUAUCCCAGUCUCUGGGCAGGUUACCCAGUGUUACUCACCCGUCCGCCGCUCGCUUGUAUCUAGUUUCACUUUUAGUGACUAAGCUAACUAAAAAUUACAUACUAGGACUAAAGGCCUAGCCUCGGAACCUUUGCCUAUGUU
rnacentral:rRNA from 1 species